UCUCCUGUAGCUCAGUAGUAGAGCGUUCGACCGGUGUACGGAAGGUCAUAGGUUCAACUCCUGUUUUCCGGGAAAC